AUGGGCUUGGUUGAAGUUCGUAUGUUGUGAUGUCCGUGGGCUUGUUAAGCUUGGAGAAGAAGCAAUAUGUUUAUUGGAAGAUUUACAUUAAGUGUAAUGGAUAUUACUUGAAGAGAAAAAGGCAAGAGAGUUAUUCCUUGGGAGAAAAAGGAAAGUUGCUUAAGUUGCUUUUGGAAGAACUUGGAGAGCAAGUUCUGGUUAUGUAUACAUGGAGGACGUGCCUCUAUGAUGAGAGUUGUCUCUGAAAAAAAAAGAAAAAAAGUCGAGAGAUCAUUGUUUGGUGCUUGUGUGAUCAAGCCUUUGGUGUCACUGCUCUGUGCUAGGU
rnacentral:lncRNA from 1 species